rnacentral:lncRNA from 1 species
UAACUCUGUUCAGAUCCUGAGAAGCUAUGUGAAGUUGAACUGAAAGACACUGAACUAAUUUGUUAAGUAGGCCUGUGAUCAACGUAAAGUGUCAGACCACAAGAGGGCAGACAACAAACCAGGCUGUAAUGUCCCCAGCCUGAAACCUGUUUGCUCAGGUUUCAGAAGAGAGCAUCGAGGCAGAGCUUGGCGCCCUAUCGUUCUGCCACUCCCACUGCCAAUGCCUGCUGCCUUGCUGUUCUGGAGUCAAACACGUGAUCACCUGCAACUUUACUUCAAGAUGAUUUGGCGGGAAAGGGCCCCUUCCCCUGCUUCACAGCCAAGUGUUGGAAAUUAGUAAAAUCGAACCUUAAUCAGACUGGUUGUCUUGGUUC